GACGAACGCUGGCGGCGUGCUUAACACAUGCAAGUCGAACGGAAAGGCCCUGCUUUUGUGGGGUGCUCGAGUGGCGAACGGGUGAGUAACACGUGAGUAACCUGCCCUUGACUUUGGGAUAACUUCAGGAAACUGGGGCUAAUACCGGAUAGGAGCUCCUGCGGCAUGGGGGGGGUAGGAAAGUUUCGGCGGUUGGGGAUGGACGCGCGGCUUAUCAGCUUGUUGGUGGGGUAGUGGCUUACCAAGGCUUUGACGGGUAGCCGGCCUGAGAGGGUGACCGGCCACAUUGGGACUGAGAUACGGCCCAGACUCCUACGGGAGGCAGCAGUGGGGAAUAUUGCACAAUGGGCGGAAGCCUGAUGCAGCAACGCCGCGUGCGGGAUGACGGCCUUCGGGUUGUAAACCGCUUUCGCCUGUGACGAAGCGUGAGUGACGGUAAUGGGUAAAGAAGCACCGGCUAACUACGUG
rnacentral:rRNA from 1 species